rnacentral:rRNA from 1 species
UACGUAGGGUGCAAGCGUUAUCCGGAUUUAUUGGGCGUAAAGAGCUCGUAGGCGGUUUGUCGCGUCUGCUGUGAAAACCCGAGGCUCAACCUCGGGCCUGCAGUGGGUACGGGCAGACUAGAGUGCGGUAGGGGAGAUUGGAAUUCCUGGUGUAGCGGUGGAAUGCGCAGAUAUCAGGAGGAACACCGAUGGCGAAGGCAGAUCUCUGGGCCGUAACUGACGCUGAGGAGCGAAAGCGUGGGGAGCGAACAGG